GGCUGUGUGGUGCAGUGGUUAGAGUGUCAGGCUAAGAUCUGGGAGAGAGCAGGGUUCGAAUCCCGUUCAGCCA